rnacentral:rRNA from 1 species
GAUGAACGCUGGCGGCGUGCUUAACACAUGCAAGUCGAACGGAAAGGCUCCUGCUUGCAGGGGUACUCGAGUGGCGAACGGGUGAGUAACACGUGGGUGAUCUGCCCUGCACUUCGGGAUAAGCCUGGGAAACUGGGUCUAAUACCGGAUAGGACCACAUUUUGGAUGGUGUGGUGGAAAGUUUUUCGGUGUGGGAUGAGCUCGCGGCCUAUCAGCUUGUUGGUGGGGUAAUGGCCUACCAAGGCGUCGACGGGUAGCCGGCCUGAGAGGGUGUACGGCCACAUUGGGACUGAGAUACGGCCCAGACUCCUACGGGAGGCAGCAGUGGGGAAUAUUGCACAAUGGGCGCAAGCCAGAUGCAGCGACGCCGCGUGGGGGAUGACGGCCUUCGGGUUGUAAACUCCUUUCGCUAGGGACGAAGCGCAAGUGACGGUACCUGGAGAAGAAGCACCGGCUAACUACGUG